GUGCCAGCCGCCGCGGUAAUACGUAGGGUGCAAGCGUUGUCCGGAAUUAUUGGGCGUAAAGAGCUCGUAGGCGGUCUGUCGCGUCGGAUGUGAAAACCCAGGGCUCAACCCUGGGCCUGCAUUCGAUACGGGCAGACUAGAGUUCGGCAGGGGAGACUGGAAUUCCUGGUGUAGCGGUGAAAUGCGCAGAUAUCAGGAGGAACACCGGUGGCGAAGGCGGGUCUCUGGGCCGAUACUGACGCUGAGGAGCGAAAGCGUGGGGAGCGAACAGGAUUAGAUACCCUCGUAGUCC
rnacentral:rRNA from 1 species